rnacentral:rRNA from 1 species
GUUUGAUCCUGGCUCGAAUGAACGCUGGCGGCAGGCCUAACACAUGCAAGUCGAACGGAGUUAUAUUGUAGCUUGCUAUGGUAUAACUUAGUGGCAGACGGGUGAGUAAUGUAUAGGAAUCUACCUAGUAGUACGGAAUAAUUGUUGGAAAUGGCAACUAAUACCGUAUACGCCCUACGGGGGAAAAAUUUAUUGCUAUUAGAUGAGCCUAUAUUAGAUUAGCUAGUUGGUGGAGUAAUAGCCUACCAAGGCAAUGAUCUAUAGCUGAUCUGAGAGGAUGAUCAGCCACACUGGAACUGAGAUACGGUCCAGACUCCUACGGGAGGCAGCAGUGGGGAAUAUUGGACAAUGGGCGAAAGCCUGAUCCAGCCAUGCCGCAUGAGUGAAGAAGGCCUUUGGGUUGUAAAGCUCUUUUAGUGAGGAAGAUAAUGACGGUACUCACAGUAGAAGUCCUGGCUAACUCCGUGCCAGCAGCCGCGGUAAUACGGAGAGGGCUAGCGUUAUUCGGAAUUAUUGGGCGUAAAGGGCGCGUAGGCGGAUUAGUAAGUUAAAAGUGAAAUCCCAAGGCUCAACCUUGGAAUUGCUUUUAAAACUGCUAAUCUAGAGAUUGAAAGAGGAUAGAGGAAUUCCUAGUGUAGAGGUGAAAUUCGUAAAUAUUAGGAGGAACACCAGUGGCGAAGGCGUCUAUCUGGUUCAAAUCUGACGCUGAGGCGCGAAGGCGUGGGGAGCAAACAGGAUUAGAUACCCUGGUAGUCCACGCUGUAAACGAUGAAUGUUAAAUAUGGGAAGUUUUACUUUCUGUAUUACAGCUAACGCGUUAAACAUUC